CCUACGGGCGGCAGCAGUGGGGAAUAUUGCACAAUGGGCGCAAGCCUGAUGCAGCCAUGCCGCGUGUGUGAAGAAGGCCUUCGGGUUGUAAAGCACUUUCAGCGGGGAGGAAGGCGGUGAGGUUAAUAACCUCAUCGAUUGACGUUACCCGCAGAAGAAGCACCGGCUAACUCCGUGCCAGCAGCCGCGGUAAUACGGAGGGUGCAAGCGUUAAUCGGAAUUACUGGGCGUAAAGCGCACGCAGGCGGUCUGUCAAGUCGGAUGUGAAAUCCCCGGGCUCAACCUGGGAACUGCAUUCGAAACUGGCAGGCUAGAGUCGUGUAGAGGGGGGUAGAAUUCCAGGUGUAGCGGUGAAAUGCGUAGAGAUCUGGAGGAAUACCGGUGGCGAAGGCGGCCCCCUGGACAAAGACUGACGCUCAGGUGCGAAAGCGUGGGGAGCAAACAGGAUUAGAUACCCCUGUAGUC
rnacentral:rRNA from 1 species